CCUGAUGCGCCAUGCCGCGUGUGUGAAGAAGGCCUUCGGGUUGUAAAGCACUUUCAGUCGUGAGGAAGGUGGUGUAGUUAAUAGCUGCAUUAUUUGACGUUAGCGACAGAAGAAGCACCGGCUAACUCCGUGCCAGCAGCCGCGGUAAUACGGAGGGUGCGAGCGUUAAUCGGAAUUACUGGGCGUAAAGCGCAUGCAGGUGGUUUGUUAAGUCAGAUGUGAAAGCCCGGGGCUCAACCUCGGAAUUGCAUUUGAAACUGGCAGACUAGAGUACUGUAGAGGGGGGUAGAAUUUCAGGUGUAGCGGUGAAAUGCGUAGAGAUCUGAAGGAAUACCGGUGGCGAAGGCGGCCCCCUGGACAGAUACUGACACUCAGAUGCGAAAGCGUGGGGAGCAAACAGGAUUAGAUACCCUGGUAGUCCACGCCGUAAACGAUGUCUACUUGGAGGUUGUGGCCUUGAGCCGUGGCUUUCGGAGCUAACGCGUUAAGUAGACCGCCUGGGGAGUACGGUCGCAAGAUUAAAACUCAAAUGAAUUGACGGGGGCCCGCACAAGCGGUGGAGCAUGUGGUUUAAUUCGAUGCAACGCGAAGAACCUUACCUACUCUUGACAUCCAGAGAACUUUCCAGAGAUGGAUUGGUGCCUUCGGGAACUCUGAGACAGGUGCUGCAUGGCUGUCGUCAGCUCGUGUUGUGAAAUGUUGGGUUAAGUCCCGCAACGAGCGCAACCCUUAUCCUUGUUUGCCAGCGAGUAAUGUCGGGAACUCCAGGGAGACUGCCGGUGAUAAACCGGAGGAAGGUGGGGACGACGUCAAGUCAUCAUGGCCCUUACGAGUAGGGCUACACACGUGCUACAAUGGCGCAUACAGAGGGCGGCCAACUUGCGAAAGUGAGCGAAUCCCAAAAAGUGCGUCGUAGUCCGGAUUGGAGUCUGCAACUCGACUCCAUGAAGUCGGAAUCGCUAGUAAUCGUGGAUCAGAAUGCCACGGUGAAUACGUUCCCGGGCCUUGUACACACCGCCCGUCACACCAUGGGGAGUGGGCUGCAAAAGAAGUAGGUAGUUUAACCUUCGGGGGGACGCUUACCACUUGUGGGUCAUGACUGGGUGAUCGC
rnacentral:rRNA from 1 species